rnacentral:rRNA from 1 species
UGCAAGUCGAACGAUGAACCACUUCGGUGGGGAUUAGUGGCGAACGGGUGAGUAACACGUGGGCAAUCUGCCCUUCACUCUGGGACAAGCCCUGGAAACGGGGUCUAAUACCGGAUAACACUCUCGCAGGCAUCUGCGAGGGUUAAAAGCUCCGGCGGUGAAGGAUGAGCCCGCGGCCUAUCAGCUUGUUGGUGAGGUAAUGGCUCACCAAGGCGACGACGGGUAGCCGGCCUGAGAGGGCGACCGGCCACACUGGGACUGAGACACGGCCCAGACUCCUACGGGAGGCAGCAGUGGGGAAUAUUGCACAAUGGGCGAAAGCCUGAUGCAGCGACGCCGCGUGAGGGAUGACGGCCUUCGGGUUGUAAACCUCUUUCAGCAGGGAAGAAGCGAAAGUGACGGUACCUGCAGAAGAAGCGCCGGCUAACUACGUGCCAGCAGCCGCGGUAAUACGUAGGGCGCAAGCGUUGUCCGGAAUUAUUGGGCGUAAAGAGCUCGUAGGCGGCUUGUCACGUCGAUUGUGAAAGCCCGAGGCUUAACCUCGGGUCUGCAGUCGAUACGGGCUAGCUAGAGUGUGGUAGGGGAGAUCGGAAUUCCUGGUGUAGCGGUGAAAUGCGCAGAUAUCAGGAGGAACACCGGUGGCGAAGGCGGAUCUCUGGG